AGUUAUGUUCAGGGGAGCCAUUGGCUGAGAGGAUCAGAAGAUCGACCCUUUGAACCUGACCCGGGUAAUGCCGGCGANGGGAGAAGAUGGAUGCAACAU
rnacentral:ncRNA from 2 species